rnacentral:rRNA from 1 species
UCCUACGGGAGGCAGCAGUGGGGAAUUUUGGACAAUGGGCGAAACCCUGAUCCAGCCAUCCCGCGUGCAGGAUGAAGCCCUUCGGGUUGUAAACCGCUUUUGGCCGGAAAGAAACGUCUCUGGUUAAUCCCUGGGGUACAUGACGGUACCGCAAGAAUAAGCCCCGGCUAACUACGUGCCAGCAGCCGCGGUAAUACGUAGGGUGCAAGCGUUAAUCGGAAUUACUGGGCGUAAAGCGUGCGCAGGCGGUUCGAUAAGACAGAUGUGAAAUCCCCGGGCUCAACUUGGGAACUGCAUUUGUAACUGCAGAGCUAGAGUUCGGCAGAGGGGGGUGGAAUUCCGGGUGUAGCAGUGAAAUGCGUAGAUAUGCGGAGGAACCCCGAUGGCGAAGGCA